ensembl:lncRNA
GAAAAAUUUGAUCAAUGGACUUUUAUUUUUCUUCAGCUCUGUGUAGGGUUAGGCAAAAUAGUAAGGGAGACAUUACCACAUGUAUUGCCAAAAAGAAAGCCAAUAUAUUUUGAAUUUCAAAUGCAUGUUCCACCAGAAGGGGAUGUUCCUUUGCAACAUGGUGGGAUGCCUGCUAUCACUUUUGGUACAAGCUGUGUUAAUGCCCAGGCCACGAGUGGGUACCAGGAGCUCAGAGUAUAUUUCUGGCUCUGCAGGUGACAUAGUCCAUGUGCCUGGAUGAGUAACUCCACUCCCCUUUCACUUUCUUUUUCUGUGAAAAGAUGUUUAGCAUCUUUGAAAAAUGCUUUGAAAUUGAUACACAAAUGGCCAAUUGAUAAUAAUUCUAAAGGAGACUGCUAAUGGUAAAGAGCUCACCUCAGUGCAUGUAAACAUUCCACAAGGAGACCAUUAACUCAAAGAAAAAAAAAACCAGCAAAUAAGUGUGAAGUCACUGAUCAGUUUGAUCUAUCUUCAGUAGUGAAUUUGUAAUCCUGGUCAAAGUUCUGAAACAAAACAAUUUCUAACAACAAUUAAUUAAAAGUAGGAAUGCAUAUAUUUUUUAGUAAAAAAAAUUUCCCUGAGGUUGCAUUAUGAAAGGUAAUGGCCUUGAUAGGUAACAGCCUAUAGAGGUAUAGGGGCUAUUAUAUGGGGAUUCUUCUGGAGCAAGAGAUUCUGAACAAUGCUGUUACUGUACUAGUUCAUCAUAUAGUGAAAUUUAACCUAUCUUAAAAUGAAAAGUGACUUGAAACUUGAUUUUCUUCUCUUUCUUUCCUUCUCUGUAUGUUUAGAAAUGUCAAAGUGAAACACAUUGACAAUUUGGACACUUUUUCAAGUUGAGAAAUUAAUCAAAACCAACCUUUUCCUGCAGAGGUUUCAUUUUCAACCAAGUAUGCCUCUUCUGAUUAAAGAAGUUGCAUAAAAAUCCUUAAACAUCUCUGCACAGGAGUACUGCUGUAUCUGUUGGGUGAUUCGUGCCUGUUUUAGAGACAGUUUUCAUAAUAAUCUAUAGGUGCUUUUGUAAGACUCUUUAUAUGAGUGCUUUUAUCUGUGCACAAGUCAUGUAGCCCAUGGGGCUCUCCCAGCUGCAGUGCAGCACCUGUGGACACAAACCAAGGCCACACUUCGGAGAAGCAAGGGGAGAGCAGGCCUGUUUGCUGUCCUGUGCUGAGGGAAGGAGCCCUGCAGCAGGCUCCCCACAGCGAGUCCGUGUGUGCACGGGAGGUGGGAGGCAGAAGGCUGGACAGAGCCAUCCCUUCCUGGGGUGCACGGAGCCAGUGGGAUGGGUGGGAAACCCAGGAGUCUCCUGCUGGGGAAGAUGACUGUUGGGUGGGAUCUUUACAGCAACACAUGGGCAGCAGGCAGGAGGAUGAGUGCUAACUGCUGGAAUUAGUGAAGUGGUACAGUGGGAAGGAAUGGCCAUGCACUGGGAUGGGAAGAAUAGGAAGGAUUUGGAAGAAGAGGGGACAGAAACAGAGUAGAGAUACAAAACAGUGUGGGGUGAGCGUCCAUAACUCUGGCUUUAUACCCAGUUGUGAAUUUUUAGUAGAAGUUUUUCAGAAGGAAAAUGUAUAGAGUAUUAUUUAUGGAGUAUUAUCUGUGAAAUUCUGAAUUCAGUAUUUUUAAGAACCUGUGGCUCUUAGAGAUUAUACUUAGACAGUAAGAGCAGAUAUUCUUUGGCUAACCUUCAGGGAAGUUCCUUCCUCCAUUUGUAAAGGAAAUAAGGAUGUGAAGAUAUGUAUCUAUGUUGUUGUGCUUCUAUUCUCCCCUCCCUCAUGCUUCUUAGCCCUGGUGACUUUAUCAGCUUUGCUUCAGGCAUCAUCUGUCUUGUAUUCAAGGUUAUCAGAUAGAGAUGAACUAGGAAAAAAAAAAAGAAAUCCAACUUUUGACUCAAACCCUUAAGAUAUAAAUUAUGUAAUCCAGAACACAGCAUUACUCCUACACACAUCAGCAAUCGAGUACCAGAACUGCGGGUCAGUGUUUCACCUUCAAAUCACCAGAUUAGAAAAAAGAGUUUCUUUCAGUGAAGUCUAUACAACAGCCCUAUUUACAGUUAGAUAUUGACUUCAAUGCAGAUAGGUAAAUGUUUGUAGCUACACUUUUAAAUUAUAUUUUAUUUUUUUAAUGCUGUGACAUUUUUGAAGGCGGGAGAAGGAGAUAACAUGCUGUAAAGUGUGAAGUGUGCUUAACAGUUUAAGAAAACACCUGGCAGGUCUUGAGUAUCUAAGUGUGAAAAUUAUCCCUUCAUUCUUUACAGGACAAUAUCAUAAAACCUUUUAGAUAAGUUAUGGCAUUACUGCCAAGCCAAAUUACAUGUAUUUGAUGCCUUAGCACUACAGCAUUGUGGACUUAGCCUUGUCCCACAUGGACCCUGGCUGUGGGAGAAGGGAUGGCUUGCAGAGGCACUACAGCUGAGAGAGCUGUGGGAGCCUGCUACAGCCUGGCCAUGGAGAGCUGGACAAAUGGCUGCACUGCGCUGUGCCCAGAGCCUGGCUCCCGGGCAGGAGGCAGCUCCCGGGCAGGAGGCAGCUCCCAGGCAGGAGGCACUCCCGGGCAGGCUCAGGGCUGCGGUGCACAGCGGCUCUGAGCUGCACAAACCACACGCUCCCAGUGCAGUGGCCUCGCUCACCCUCAGCCGGCACACCCAUGCUGCUUUUCGGCAGAAAGGAGACCCAGCUCGUUCCCACAGCAAGGCUCCAGUUCAGCUCAGAGAGAGAGAAAACGUAACAAACUUAACAAGGAAAUAAAAAGUUGUUCAAAUUAAUCUCUUCUUUCAGAGAACAGUCUAUGCUUAUAGUGUAAGUGAUCAUAAAAAUGUCAUUUGCAUUCUUAGGAAACAAUGCCUGUGCGGAAUUUGCAAUGUUUCAGAUUCAUUCUCUGGAAACAAUUUGUGUGAUUUAUUCUGUUUUGCUUCAAGCGUGAUUCUGUUUUUCUUCAGGGCUGCUUGGGGUGUGUGGUUUGACACUCAGCUUGUCAGUUUAGCAUUGUGAGAUUGUGAGUUUUUUGAAGAGGGCACAUCUGUGGUUAUAAAAGAAUAACAAGAAGCAUCAGAUGUUCAGAGGAUAAAAAAGCAGAGCUUGGGAGGAUCUUAGAAAUGAAUACUUAGCAGAGAUGACAUAUAUAUGACCCAGAGCUGUAGAGGGCUAAUGUGGUAUCUGUAAAAUCACUUAUUUUUCAAGUUUUCAAAUACUCUUAAUUAUCUUAAUAACCAACAAACACUUCAGCUACAUUUCUAGUUGUGAAAUUUUAUACGCCAAGGAUCUUAAACAGCAAAAGUAUGUAUUUUUUAAAAAAUGUACCGAGAGCCCAUAGUUCAGGAAAAAAAUACUCUUCAGUACUCAAAAAAGCUUUUAAGCAGUAAAACUACUGCCCUUUUGAGAGCAGAAGGAAAUGUUGGGAUUGCAGCUUUAUCCCAUUUUCUCAAGAUUGCUUGGGAAGAAUUAAAUUUGAUGGCUAUUUAAGCACCCUUUGCACAAGAAGGAGUCAAGUCCGACUGCAAAGGGGUAUAGGCUUAUGCAGGUUUCAGUGUAACAGUGAACUGGAUCUAAACCUUGUUAAAAAAUUAACAGUCAUUGGGUUUUUGAACAGUUUCUGCCUUUGUUAAAGUACAAUUAUUAUUCCAGCUUAACCAUCCACAUUGUUAUCAAAGGACUACAGUAUUUUAAAACUUAUCUUUUAAUCUUUCUCUCCUAUAUGGUGUGAACUUACCCUCUCUUUUCUGGCUAUGCAGAUAAAGAUAUUAUACUAAUAAAGCUUUGCUUGCACCAUCUCAGCAAAGUAUUUUUAAUGGAUCACGUGCUUUGAGAGCAUGUCUUCAAGGUGAAACUAUGAACAAGAAGUGCAAAAAUUAGUAAUUAUCUUCACAAAUUCUGUGCUAAAGUGAUAUUUACCAUUUCAACUGCCAAAGUAAUGUACCUACACUUGGAACUAGAGCCAGCCUUGCUAAAUCAGUACUAGCCACAGAUUUGCAACCAUUUAUUCUGUUUAUUAAAUUAACAAAUCAGAAGUGUCUGCAAAAGGUUUUCCUCCUGACUCUAGCACUUGCAGUACUGAGGUGUUUAUGGAAAAUCCUACUUAGUGGCAAAUCCUGAUUAGGAAACGUUAUCAUUUUUCUGCAUAAUAGGUGAGAUAGACAUGCCUAACAUAUGGUUGCUAUAAAAUAUCUUAGAUGAGUCAGAUCUUAGCUGACAGUUGUAAGCAGGAUUGCUGUGGCUUCUUAGAUAAUACUACUAAUUAUGGUCCUUUUUGUUACUUAACUGCUGUACUGUUAAAUUAUAUUAACCUGAUUUGUAGACACUCCUAUUUGUGUAAAACAAAAAGGCAAGAUUUAUGAUGUAAAUCCUGAUCUAAUGUUUGCAGCUUAUUAAAGCUGUUUCCAAAGUCCUUCAAGCUCUCUGUAGUGAUGACUAAUUCUAACCUAACUGUAGGACUCCCCAAGAAGCUGCUGCUGUCCCACUAAGUGUUCAAUUCAGCUACAUACACCUUGAAAUUUAAGAAGGUAAGAAGUGCCAGAAGUAGCAUUGAUUUGAUGAUGCAGGAUGUACCAGCCAGUAGCCCCAGUGGCUUUGUGCUCUGAUCCUUGCAUGCAGCUCCCACAGGUAAUCACAGAGUGCAAAAAUGUACCAAAGAGUUUGCCUUUAAAGUACUGCCUACUACAGUGUCCUGGGGACUGACUUCCAAGCAGGGACUUUGCUGAGUGGCAAGAGGAAACUGUCUGAGAACCUGUGGUUGUGCUCUAGCCUGUUGUUGGAGAGGGGCUCUUUGGAGCUCUUGUCUUGAGGCAACUGCAAGAGAGCACAGUAAGCCUACAAACAGGGGGCAGUUGCAGCAUAUAGGGGCCACACUUACACUUGCAGUUCUGACUGAUUAGCCUUACCAAGUCUAGGCAUCUACACAUUGAAUUCUCAUAGCAAAGUUUAUCUAUUUUCUUCAGAACUCCAGCUUGCACUUUGAUCUACUCUACAGCUAUAAGCAACUCAGGGGGAAUGAAUUUAUCACACAUGUCCAUAUAUUGCUCACAGGCUCAUCUGUUUUCCCUUGCUUUUUGAAACCAGAGUGCUAAAUGAAAGCCCCUUGAAGAUACGUGUUUCCCACACACAUCCCCCCCCAUCUCACCAAAUCCUGUGUAGCACCACAAAUGCCACAGCUCACGUUCUACAGCAUCUUUCAGGCAGCCCAUCUCCCAAAGUACUAUCCACUCUGCAGAGAAGUGCUUCUAAGAUGAAGCGUCACAAAAAGAAAACUCACGAGAGGAAAAGUCUUCACCAAUAUUACUUUCCGUCUUUGCUAAUGGAAGACACACCCACUUCCUUUGACUCUAAUCAGAGGCUGUCAGGUGGUAGAGAUAUACAGCUGAGAAACAAGAGGUCUUUAUACUUAGGUGCCUAGCCCUGCCUUGUAUACCAUCUGCUUCUAAUGGAAACUUAAGACUUGCCAAAAGGAGAGGCUGAGUCUAUGUUUUCAAUAUUUAAUGCCCACUGGAAAUGACAGUUCAGCAUUACCUGCUGUCCCAGUGAGAUCAAGCUAAACCCCACCCACAGUACUGUGUGUUCACAUGCAAUUGCAGAAAUAAACAUGGAAAUAAGUAUGAAAUAAGUAUGGAGAACUUAGAGGCAAACUCUUGAACUAGAGUGUAGGCUAAUUUCAACAUAGGGGCAUUAUUCUUCUUUCCCUAAAGACUGGCACUCACUUGAAUUCUUUUGGUGUUAACUCUUAUAAGUUAACAAAAGAUUGUGUGAAGUAGUAGCCAUCAAAAUAAGUGAACAAUAGGAUCAGAUCGCUUAGAAACUCCCCACUGUGCAGGGGCAGGUCCCCAUUCAGUUUUGUGCCACACUCUACUACAAAUUACUCCAGGGAGAGCCAGUGUACUGUGUCAGCGUUUCUUUUCUGCUGACUUUUCUGUUUCUUUCCUCCAUGAUGGAAUAGGAGCCAAGGAAUUAACACCAUCAAUUUCAUAAAUGCAGUAAGGUAAGAUCUGGAGACCCUAAAUUUAAGAGCAUCACUUCACUCUGAAGCAAAUGAGGACAGGCAGGUACCUAAGUUUGGAUGCCUAAAUUUAGAUGGUAUGAAUACUGCUUUCCCCUUCUCUCUUCCUUUUUCUUCUCUUUGAUGUGCUAGUCCUUUUUUCUAGAAGAGUUGAAAGUUACAAGAGACAUGUCCAGCUGAGCUGCUCAUCCCCUCUUGCACUUUGUAGAGUCCAGGUUAUCUCAAAAUAGGGGGAGAAGUGUAGACAUCAAGAUUCACAAAACCGUUAUUUUCCCCUAAAACCACAACAGAUGUCUCACUUUGAAGCUACUCACUGAGACUGAAGAGUGAAAAUACAGGUGACUCUUGUAUGUGUUGUAUGGACACAGCCUGUGAGGCCAGGACACAUAUCAUGCAUGUACCAGCACCUUGUCGCUCCCUGCAUCUCCCUGUGAAUGACAGGGUAGAUCUAAAUUUCCAGCCCUGGGUUUAGACAGCAGCACAGCCCUGUCAGUUAUGCUGAGGAACUUUUUUGUUUUGAUAGUUUUCAAUUAAAUAAAUCAGGCUCUCUUCUGCUUGUUUUAAUGUAGGAAUUUGCAUUAUCAUAUCUAGCUUGAUUUGCAACCUUUACACAGAUUCAAGGUAAUCGCUUCAAAAAACUGAAAGUGUAUGGGUUACAUUAUGACUUUUCUACUUUCCUGAAAUGGUGAACAUAAAUGAAUCACUUGGACUCCUCUUUUUCUCUCCAAAAUCCAAGAAAAAUAAGUAAGCAUGGUCAAUGGGCAAAAAUAAUCAAAUGGCAGCAGUGAA